AGGUCUGUCCUUUUCCAGGAAGGGAAAAGUUAACCUUCCGACUGACGACGUGAGGAAACAGAAUAGAAAGGUUCUCAACUCUUCGGACCGGAAGUGGUCAUGAUCCACCUUAAGGCAUCGGCAGCGCUUUCUAUUUCAGGUUACUGCCUGAGUCCUACAUGAGCCCAGCAUUGGUGCGAGCUGGUGUGAUGUGUGAGCAUCCAAGGGUGCAAGGAGAUUUCAACAUGUGCUCCUGUGAUGAGAAGUUUUAAGUGUCAUCUUACCAUAACCUCGAACCAUCUGAGAAGAGAGCUGCAAUUGAG